GAUGAACGCUGGCGGCGUGCCUAAUACAUGCAAGUCGAGCGAACGGACGAGAGGCUUGCUUCUCUGAUGUUAGCGGCGGACGGGUGAGUAACACGUGGAUAACCUACCUAUAAGACUGGGAUAACUUCGGGAAACCGGAGCUAAUACCGGAUAAUAUUUUGAACCGCAUGGUUCAAAAGUGAAAGACGGUCUUGCUGUCACUUAUAGAUGGAUCCGCGCUGCAUUAGCUAGUUGGUAAGGUAACGGCUUACCAAGGCAACGAUGCAUAGCCGACCUGAGAGGGUGAUCGGCCACACUGGAACUGAGACACGGUCCAGACUCCUACGGGAGGCAGCAGUAGGGAAUCUUCCGCAAAGGGCGAAAGCCUGACGGAGCAACGCCGCGUGAGUGAUGAAGGUCUUCGGAUCGUAAAACUCUGUUAUUAGGGAAGAACAUAUGUGUAAGUAACUGUGCACAUCUUGACGGUACCUAAUCAGAAAGCCACGGCUAACUACGUG
rnacentral:rRNA from 1 species